CUUUUACCAUCAUAUGAUUUAACAGUAAAUAUUGAUGUUUUGAUACCCACAGGGCCACCUUGGGAACUCGAGGAGAGGUGACAGAGUUAGGGGAUCUAGAUGGCACAACACAAAAUCUGUUUCCAUUUUAUUAAAAAACAAAACAAAACAAAACAAAACUUUCCUGAAAGUCACAAUCCUGUGUUGAAAUCUUUAUAGUUUGCUAUAUCUUUUGACCCAUAGGUCAGAACACAGUUGCAUUUAUUUACAUUAGAAUCUUUAAUAUAAUGAAAAUAGUCACGUCUGAUUGAAUGUCUCCAGCUCUCAUCCUUAACCAUUUCAUCACGCGCCCAGGACCACAUAAACUGUGGAUGUUCUCCAAGCACACCAAGAAGACAACAAAGCAAAAUAAAGUCUGUAUUUCCUAACAGAAGAUGGGUUCCUUUAAAGUCAUAGGGUUUUUUUUUUCCUUCCAAUUUCCUUUGUAUUUAAAGAGAUAUAAAGUGCUUUAAAAGAGUCGGGUAGGCAUCUGGGGCUGGGAGGAAGGAAAGAGACCUAUACAGAAGCAAACCAACAAACGGCAAACAGAACAUAGCUAUGCUGCCCUGCUGAGGCUUGUAAAUACUCAGGGGACUCCGAGGGGAAGUGAUGUCUUCACAGCGUGGCUGUAGAACGCACUACCACCAUAUUUCAGCACAAGAAAAGUGAACCAAACUUCAAGUCCAAAAUUCCCUCAGACAAAAACCAGCCAGAGCCAGUUCUUGUGAUUGGUGGGUCAGCAGGCAGUGAGGUCAGGGUUGCCUUCACUGUCCUAUCUCAGAUUACAGGUGAGAUGGGCCUAUCUUUCACUCCACCCUCAGACCAGCCAAAAUGACAUCAUAGGCAAGCUCAAGGGAAUACUGACUGUGGCAUCACCCUUUGACAACAGAAGCUAAUAAUUCCCACUAGGGUGGAGAAAGAAAGGCCUGGGUUUUCUCUUUGCUCAUGGGGUUGGUGAUGCUGGAGGCCGACUUAUAACAUCAUGUCUGAUUAUUCCAGACUUACAGAUCCAUUAUCUUUGUAGUUUUUUUUUUAAUCACAGAUAAUGUGUCACACAAAGAGAGUUUUAAAAAAAUGCUGCUCUACUUCCUGCUUUUAAACAGACACUUGCUGGUUAUGGUCUGCAGGUUACAGAAGUGCAUGCCACGGAAGGCGACACAUGCAUUCCGGAUAUUCUGCAAAUGAGAAAAUUCUUCCUUCCACCUAAGGAGAGUUUUAAAGAACCCCCACCCUGGAAUGGAUGGAAUGUAACUUCACAAAUACAAAAUUUAUCUCAAGUUUUCUAAACAUAACGGACAUCCCACUAUAAAAAUAACACUCCCUCCCCACCCUCUUCCACCUCUAAAUUUCUUCCUAAUUAUAAAAUGGUACAAUCAUUUCCUAUUAGUAAGCUGAAGGCAGGAACUAAACUGAUUCUGCACACAUACAAAACGCUUUAUUUCACACCAUUUACAUUCACACGGAAGAAGAAGUCCUCUUAUUGAUCUUCCUUCUCGAUUUCGUGGGAGGAAGCGGAGCUGAGCCAAAGCCACACAGAGCAAUGCUGACAACACACAUCCCAGACAGCAACAGAACACAGCAACGUUUUAAAACAGGCCUGCUUUGAGGUCUCCUACAGCUCUCUAGAGUUCAAGACAUUCUCUCUUCAUUUGAUAACUGCUGGCCAAAUUCUCCACUAUUGAAGGAAUGGUACCGAUGAAAAUGCAAGACACAUUUGUUGACUUGGAAACCCACUGCAAAUUAAUUUGCUGAAAGUAUCAGACCAGCAGAGGGCGCUCUGACCCUUGCAAUAAAAUUCUACAGACAGGUUCGGAAGACAGCAACACAAAUUUGGAUUGCUAAGCCCAUGCACUGGCCUUCAACUGCUCUGUCCCUAAUAGGCGACAAUUUGGUAUUUACUUCAAAGAGCAGGAUACACUACAAUGGGCUAGCUCUUACAUGAAGAAAUCUUUGGCUAUUUAAAAUCUUCACAUUCUCAAAGAAAACUAUUCUGAGUUCAAUAUGAGUGCUAGAUUUGUCUGAAGUUUUGAAGUAAAGAGGGUUAAACACGAAAGUUUAAAGAUGGCAUGUGUGUCACUAAGGCCACAGUCCAUUGUUUUAGAUUUGUGGAUUUAUCGAGGCCAACCAGCAGCCUGAAAAAAUUGAAAUGCCCAAGGGAUCCACCUUGACUUUUGUUUGUGAGAACAUCAGGAGACAAUUCAGCUAGUUCACAGAAGAACAUGUGUCCAUUUGGAUGUUGAUCAGUCUUUGGUUUAUUUAGCACACACGGUCCUCACAUUUUCUCCAAGGUCACUGCUGGCCAAAGAACCGCACACCAGAGAAUUUCUACCCAGCAAUGACUUUGGGUCACUCAACUGUCUCUCCUUUCUCUGUAGAUUUUCCUGUCUGCCUCUUUAGAGGUCUUACAAGAAGCACACUCCCACAUCCUCCUCCUUCCCCCCUCCUCCUCUUCCUCUUCUUCCUCCUCCUCCUCUUCCUCUUCUUCCUCUUCCCCCUCAUCAAUGAACACAUAUCAAGUGGCUAAAGAGCAAACAGCUCUGCAGUGAGGGUGAGCAUCUGUAAUGCCACCAGUUUAGAGGAUCUGGGCACUGAGGUUCAAGAAAAAGCCAUUUGAUUAUGAAGGACAUAGGACAGGGAGAGAGUGAGUGAGUGAGACAGGCUCUUACAGAACAAGGAACUGAUUAAAUUAAUUAAAGUCCACAUCUGGGAUCUACAUUCACUUCAUUAGUUAUGGGAUGAUAACACCAUGCCACCACGAAGCUCACAGUGGAAUAAAAUAGUUCCCUAUCUACAAGAUUUUAACUAGCACUGUCUGACCCUCCUGAGAAAGGCCUGCUGUUGGGAGCCAAGUAUCCCAAUCUUCUUCACAAUCAAGACGUUUUAACUCAUGACUAUUGACUCCCUUCAACACCUGCUCUCCCUGGGACUCAUUGGUAAGUUCCGAGCCCAGGGGAGGGGCAGUUUUCCACAUAGACUUUCUCCUUAGCUCACCCUGCUUUGAUCUGGGAUCUUGCCUGCUGUGGAUGUCCUUCAGGGUACUGGUCGUUUCCCUUGUGAAAUUCAGCCAUCACCCCUGCUCCUCCGUCCUCUCCCAAAAUGGACAGAAAUACUGCUCAGGAAAUCAGGCAGCCCAGUCUUUGAAGGGCAGUGCCUCUGCUCCUCUUUGCCGUACGUUCUUUCCAAGAAGCAUGGCUUGCUAAAUGUUAAGGACCCUGGGAAGAUGGCAGAAACAGGUCACGCAAAUCCUGCUCUUGUGCGAAUGUGGCCUAUUAGGAGGGGACCAAGGAACAGGGUUUAAGGAAAUGGGGUGUAAGAUAGGGAAAGUGUGUGUGUGUGUGUGUGUGUGUGUGUGUGUGUGUGUGUGUGUGUGUGUGCAAGGAAGGGAAGGGAAAUUAAGAAUGCUAUGGGGGCUGGUGAAAUGGCUCAGUGGUUAAGAGCACUGACUGCUCUUCUAGAGGUCCUGAGUUCAAUUCCUAGUAACUACCUGGGGACUCACAACCAUCUGUAUCUGGGAUCUGAUGCCCUCUUCUGGCUUGCAGGUGUACAUGCAGAUAGAGCAACUCAUACAUUUAAUUUUUUUUUUUUUCUUCUACAGGACAUCAUCUCCCUGGCCUCAGUACCUCAGCACUGCAGAGACUGGACCUUCUCUUUGUAGAUUGCAUGAUGAUCUUUCCUAAAAUUUUUGAAAGUUUUUAUUUGGUAAUUUUCAUGGUGUUCAGCCAAGGAUAUGCAUUCAGUGGACAACUAAAUGCCAUUAAAUGCUUAUGCAAUCUACUUCAGCACCAACUAAGCUUACACCAAGAAUCUUAGGCAGACUGAUGUUCUCUUUUGGUUCUGGAAGUGUUGUAGUCCCAGGAAUGUCUGGGCUGUAAAGAAAAUGGCCACUGGGCACAGCCAUUCUUAACAGGCUAGACCCUUGAAUACCCACAGAUGAAAAUGUUAAAGCAACAACAACAACAACAACAACAACAACAACAACAACAACAAAUCUCUGGAGAGAGACUUGCUUCCAUGGCCAGGAUGUCACACACAAUGUUGAAAUAGCUAGGUGCCUCUGGUACUCCUCCCCACCUCUGCCCCUGCCUCCACCCAGUAUUUGUCUCUGUAGCUGUCCCAGAACUUGCUUCAUAGACCGGGCUGACCUCAAACUCACUGAGAUCCACCUGCCUGAGUGCUGGGUUCAAAGGUGUGAGCCACCACUGCCUGAUUGCCUCUGAUACCUUAUCAUCUCCUGUCUCCAUACUAUAUCCAUCCCUUGGGUGUGUGACCAGAACUGACCUUGAAGGCCCUGCCAGACCCAAGGCUGUUCUUAGGAGGCAGCAGCCCUUUAGAAGGAUUAACCACGCAGGAGGAAGCCAUUCUGAAAGUGACUCUGAGGGAGUUCAGGGCUCUUUUCCUCUCUCAACCUUGGACAAAGCUGAAGAGAAAGCUGCUCGCCAUUCACCACAUAGAGGCUGGAUGGCCACAAGCUCAGAGAUCCUUUCUCGGCAAUGCCACACAGACCGGGUAUGUGGCUCGGCCUGCGGUUUCCUGCGCCUUUCCUGUCUCUGAGUUCUACUGCUUUAGAACGGGGCAGCCACAGGGAUGAAGAACUAUGGGUUGAGGUAAAUUCUCUUUGGCUAAGUGUCACAUUAAGAGUCUUGGGAUUAGUCAUAGAAGUGAGGGGUGUAAGUCUCUCACAUGAGUCUCAGGGUUUGUCAUAAAAGUGAGGGUGUAAUUUUAUUUCAGCACCAAAUCAGCAUGGUUGGUUGUCUUGUUGUUUUUUAACAAACAGCUCGUCAGAGAAGCAACAGUUGCUGAGGACAGUGGACACUGUGUUUAGAAAGUUGAUAAAGGCUAUUUGAACCGCUAUUACUUAUGGAAUAAGAACAUCCCUGGCUGUCUCCUUAGGUAACUUGGCUAAAGUCUGUUUUUCUUUUGGGGAAAACCUGAGGUAAUCUUAUCCUUUUUCUCCUGUCACAGUCAGGAGAGCACUUGUAAGGAUUCUGGAACAUUUCUUGGGCUGUGCUGCCCGGCUGGUGGCCACUAGGCACAUGUGGCUACGGAAAGCUUGAACUGUGGCUAGUAAUAAUGAUGAUGUGCUGGGCGUGUAAAAGACAGCAGAUUUAGAAUAGGUAACAAAGAAUAGAGGAAAAUGUUUUCCUGACACCCUACAUCAUUUGCACAUCAAAACAAUAAUAAUAUUAGAUUAAACUGCUAUUAAAUAAUUUCCACCUGUUUCCUUUUUGCUUCUUAAAAUGUGGCUAUCGGGAGUUAGAAAAAAAAAUGCAUGUGACUUGGGCUGUAUUUCUGUUGGACAGAGUUGGUGCACCACUUGCUCCAGAAAAAUGCAUGCCUGUAAAUGCAUAGUCAGUGGGCACUCCUGGGCUGCAUAGCCACGUGUGGCUCACUGGGUCCUCAGGUCAGGGCCUCCUCAUCACGGAAGGCAGCAGCAAUGUCUAUAGUAAGAGCUUUGCCAGUUAUCUCAAGAGGAAAAACUUUCUUUUAAUCUUUCUUUUGCCAUGAAGGUCACAGGGAAGCCCUUCAAAACUCUUUGGUAAGCAGAGACUGUCAAAGGCUCAGGGAGUUUGCCACAGGGUCUCCUUGGAGUCAGAUCAACAGGCUAAGGGUGGGCCUCUUGGGCUCCUUAGCAUCCUGUAGGGUAUUAGGUCAAGGACUUGCUUAUAUAAUCAGCGUUUACCUGGCCACUGGCCAGAAAACACCUACCAGAUCUUUUUCUGUCUGGUCAUGCAAUGUAAUUUUGUAUUUCUCUUGUUGUUGAAUUACCCCAAUGUCAUUAGACUAAAUAUUAAAAUUUCCUUUGUGACUCAGUUGUUUUCACAACACAGAUCCCCCCUGGAGAAGUGCAGAUGUGUCACCUGAGACAGAGGGGACAGUGAGACUCAUCUUCGAAACUUCAUUGGAGAGAGUCUGGUUUAGCACUCACCUGCUUCCUCGCUACGAAGCAUCUCAGGCCUUGGAGGCGGGCAUUAAUUAUGGGAUGUGCUAGACCUUUGACAGAGGGUGCCGAGGCAAUCCUCAAAGUCAUACACACGUCAUAUUGAUAACUCGCGACUAUGAAUCUCAAGACGUGGUAUAAACCAAUCACAGGGCCAGCAACCAGAACUUCUAAGCAGACCUCUGUACAUGGGCUGGAGUGGAUCAAAGGGAAAACGGAGGGAAUCAAUCGAUGUAAACUACACAUCAACUUUAAAAAGAAGUCGCCAAGGGAAUGAAACCAUUUUUCCCAAACAAGAGCAAGAAGAUGGGAGAGGCUGAAGUCAAGUGAAGAAACUGUGGAGUUCUCCUUCCAGUCUGCUGCACGUCUACACAGACACCAAGAAAUUCAGCUUUCAACUUCCACAUCAAGGCCACAGGCUGUUGUUGCAGAGAUGGGAACCCGCAUCCUGACUCGGGAGACUUUGGAUAUUGCUUUCGUUACCACCCUUGAACAGAGUGCCCUGGGGUUGCCAUGGUGAUCUGAAGGUCGUGUAUCCAGUUCAGUCCUUGGAGCAUGCUUCCCUCCUGUCCCCCUGGUUCCUAUGUCUUCUCUUGUCCAUUUCUACCAUCUCAAGAUUUCACCUCCUCGCAGUCUUGGUCAGUGGAAAGUUCUACAUCAGACAGGCCCACUUCCAGUGCCAUAAUUAAUGAGAUGUCAGAGUCACUGCUCAGUGCUGGCUCUUGACCACCUGAAGGGGGACAAAGCAAAGUUUAUGGUCAACGUCAAGCUAUGUCUUUG
rnacentral:lncRNA from 1 species